rnacentral:rRNA from 1 species
AGACCCGAAACCCGGUGAUCUAGCCAUGGGCAGGUUGAAGGUUGGGUAACACUAACUGGAGGACCGAACCGACUAAUGUUGAAAAAUUAGCGGAUGACCUGUGGCUGGGGGUGAAAGGCCAAUCAAACCGGGAGAUAGCUGGUUCUCCCCGAAAGCUAUUUAGGUAGCGCCUCGUGAAUUCAUCUCCGGGGGUAGAGCACUGUUUCGGCUAGGGGGCCAUCCCGGCUUACCAACCCGAUGCAAACUGCGAAUACCGGAGAAUGUUAUCACGGGAGACACACGGCGGGUGCUAACGUCCGUCGUGAAGAGGGAAACAACCCAGACCGCCAGCUAAGGUCCCAAAGUCAUGGUUAAGUGGGAAACGAUGUGGGAAGGCCCAGACAGCCAGGAUGUUGGCUUAGAAGCAGCCAUCAUUUAAAGAAAGCGUAAUAGCUCACUGGUCGAGUCGGCCUGCGCGGAAGAUGUAACGGGGCUAAACCAUGCACCGAAGCUGCGGCAGCGACGCUUAUGCGUUGUUGGGUAGGGGAGCGUUCUGUAAGCCUGUGAAGGUGGCCUGUGAGGGUUGCUGGAGGUAUCAGAAGUGCGAAUGCUGACAUAAGUAACGAUAAAGCGGGUGAAAAGCCCGCUCGCCGGAAGACCAAGGGUUCCUGUCCAACGUUAAUCGGGGCAGGGUGAGUCGACCCCUAAGGCGAGGCCGAAAGGCGUAGUCGAUGGGAAACGGGUUAAUAUUCCCGUACUUGGUGUUACUGCGAAGGGGGGACGGAGAAGGCUAUGUUGGCCGGGCGACGGUUGUCCCGGUUUAAGCGUGUAGGUGUGUGUUCCAGGUAAAUCCGGUUCACUUUAACACUGAGGCGUGAUGACGAGGCACUACGGUGCUGAAGUAACAAAUGCCCUGCUUCCAGGAAAAGCCUCUAAGCAUCAGGUAACAUCAAAUCGUACCCCAAACCGACACAGGUGGUCAGGUAGAGAAUACCAAGGCGCUUGAGAGAACUCGGGUGAAGGAACUAGGCAAAAUGGUGCCGUAACUUCGGGAGAAGGCACGCUGACACGUAGGUGAAGUGAUUUACUCAUGGAGCUGAAGU